rnacentral:rRNA from 1 species
GAUGAACGCUGGCGGCGUGCCUAAUACAUGCAAGUCGAGCGAACGGACGAGAAGCUUGCUUCUCUGAUGUUAGCGGCGGACGGGUGAGUAACACGUGGAUAACCUACCUAUAAGACUGGGAUAACUUCGGGAAACCGGAGCUAAUACCGGAUGAUAUUUUGAACCGCAUGGUUCAAAAGUGAAAGACGGUCUUGCUGUCACUUAUAGAUGGAUCCGCGCUGCAUUAGCUAGUUGGUAAGGUAACGGCUUACCAAGGCAACGAUGCAUAGCCGACCUGAGAGGGUGAUCGGCCACACUGGAACUGAGACACGGUCCAGACUCCUACGGGGGGCAGCAGUAGGGAAUCUUCCGCAAUGGGCGAAAGCCUGACGGAGCAACGCCGCGUGAGUGAUGAAGGUCUUCGGAUCGUAAAACUCUGUUAUUAGGGAAGAACAUAUGUGUAAGUAACUGUGCACAUCUUGACGGCACCUAAUCAGAAAGCCACGGCUAACUACGUG